GGUGAACGCUGGCGGUAGGCCUAACACAUGCAAGUCGAACGGCAGCACAGGAGAGCUUGCUCUCUGGGUGGCGAGUGGCGGACGGGUGAGGAAUACAUCGGAAUCUACUUUUUCGUGGGGGAUAACGUAGGGAAACUUACGCUAAUACCGCAUACGACCUACGGGUGAAAGCAGGGGACCUUCGGGCCUUGCGCGAUUGAAUGAGCCGAUGUCGGAUUAGCUAGUUGGCGGGGUAAAGGCCCACCAAGGCGACGAUCCGUAGCUGGUCUGAGAGGAUGAUCAGCCACACUGGAACUGAGACACGGUCCAGGCUCCUACGGGAGGCAGCAGUGGGGAAUAUUGGACAAUGGGCGCAAGCCUGAUCCAGCCAUACCGCGUGGGUGAAGAAGGCCUUCGGGUUGUAAGGCCCUUUUGUUGGGAAAGAAAUCCAGCUGGCUAAUACCCGGUUGGGAUGACGGUACCCAAAGAAUAAGCACCGGCUAACUUCGUGCCAGCCGCCGCCGUAA
rnacentral:rRNA from 1 species